rnacentral:lncRNA from 1 species
AAAUCACGCAGCCUCCGCUUACAAGUAUUUUGCUGAAAAACUUAAGCUCUAAUGCAGAACUGUGGCCGGUUGAAGAAGCGGAAUUCGAGGAUUUGGAGCUAGACGGACUCGAGCAUUUAGCGGGAUAUAUUUGCCACAAGCUGCAGGAUGACAUUCCCAGCACGUCGUUCAGGAGCAAUGACGACCAUUCAUUCUCCUGGGCGGAUCACCUUAAUGAGGGUGGGUUAUCCCUACCAAGCUCCUCUAUGAUGGUCCAUAUGCGAAGUCUUGAGUCAGUCUUUAAGGCAUUGAACGAAGAUGGCUUGCUCAUUACAAAUGAUUUUGUAAAAACUCACAUUGAGCAUGCUGCAACAAUUCAAUGCGACAUUGAAGUAAAAAAAUUAUUUUUCAGGGCAAGAAUGUUCUUCAAAAUACGAAAAUUAAAUAAAGAACUCGUUGAAAAUGCCCACAAAAGAAAAAGAAAAGCCAAAAAAACUCUGACCUAGAUCGAUCCAUAUGGUACCAUUAUAGAACCGUAAGUAUUGCAUAAAAUACCAAACAUGUGGUAAGUUUUGAACUAAAGCGUUUUUAAAUUUGUAGAAAUUAACCGUUCUUUACUUGCAGCAUGAAUCAAUGUCCGCAUUUCACACGCACUGAUCUCAGUAUUUCAGACUCCUAAAAUUAAAAUACUUGCAUGCUACGCAAGUAAUAUGAUUCAUCCAAAGGCCCUUUUCAGGGCCGCCAA